GAAUCAGCAGUAACAUAUUACAUCGAUCCUUAUGGGACACAUGGGUUGGAUUUACAAAUUAAUCAUGUAUAUUCUUAAACAUCUUGGAUAUAAAUAUUCACUGAUUUAAAAAAAUAAUGUUUUCUCUUUGUCAUAUUUGAGCUCAUUGGAACUGUAUCCAUUUUACUGGGAGCAACUCAACAUGGAAAAUCAACUUCUCAUUUAAGCCGUAAAGGAGUUCAUUGUUAUCAUGCAUACUUUCAGUUUGAUAAUAUAGCAAUUUUCUCUAAUUUCAUCCAUGUUAAGUGGUUUAUUAAGCAUGUGUUAUUCUGAAAGUAGAUGAAGGAGUAAUAAAUAGAAGCAUCCGCUUCCCCCAAGUUUAGAAACAAUUUAGAAAUAAGACAAAAAUAUUAACAAGCAAACAACCAAAAUUUUAUCAUUUCUACUAACGCGUAUGUGUGGCAACGAGCCCAGGAUCCCUAGCUUCACCCUAUUUAUAGUA
rnacentral:lncRNA from 1 species